UACGGGGGGAGCAAGCGUUGUUCGGAAUUACUGGGCGUAAAGGGCUCGUAGGUGGCCAACUAAGUCAGACGUGAAAUCCCCGGGCUUAACCUGGGAACUGCAUUUGUGACUGCAAGGCUAGAGUACGGUAGAGGGGGAUGGAAUUCCGCGUGUAGCAGUGAAAUGCGUAGAUAUGCGGAGGAACACCGAUGGCGAAGGCAAUCCCCUGGACCUGUACUGACGCUCAUGCACGAAAGCGUGGGGAGCAAACAGG
rnacentral:rRNA from 1 species